rnacentral:rRNA from 1 species
GGGGAAUAUUGCACAAUGGGCGAAAGCCUGAUGCAGCGACGCCGCGUGCGGGAUGACGGCCUUCGGGUUGUAAACCGCUUUCAGCUCUGACGAAGCUUUUGUGACGGUAGGAGCAGAAGAAGCACCGGCUAACUACGUGCCAGCAGCCGCGGUAAUACGUAGGGUGCGAGCGUUGUCCGGAAUUAUUGGGCGUAAAGAGCUUGUAGGCGGCUUGUCGCGUCUGCUGUGAAAACCCGGGGCUUAACCCCGGGCUGGCAGUGGGUACGGGCAGGCUAGAGUGUGGUAGGGGAGACUGGAAUUCCUGGUGUAGCGGUGGAAUGCGCAGAUAUCAGGAGGAACACCGAUGGCGAAGGCAGGUCUCUGGGCCAUUACUGACGCUGAGAAGCGAAAGCGUGGGGAGCGAAC